GUGUUGCCCCUACUGCUCAGCCUUCCUGCCCCCACCAGACUGUCCUCUCGGUUCCAAAACGGAGAGACAGAAGCUCGGCAAAGAUGAUAAUGUUCUGUGCGGAGCCGGUGGGGGGAGAACGGCAUCUGCGAGGCUGGGGGAUCGCUUUUUCUAAGCACGAGAAUAUUCAGAAGGCGCCGCGGAAGAGCUGAUGUGGAAGACGGGACAGUCCUGAGACCCGGCGUCCGGUCAGCUCCCGGCAUCUGGAUUGUGUCUAGCGAGAAGAAACAAUUUUUAGAAACCAAACUGACAUUUAAAAAAAUAAAAAGAUACCUGUUUUGUACUCAUUUUAUCAGCCAUAAAAAUAAUCACUUGCUAACAUGUCCAAAGGCCUAAGGACCAGAAUAAAUUGGACGUAAAUAGACUGUUAAGAAAUCAA